rnacentral:rRNA from 1 species
GAUGAACGCUGGCGGCGUGCCUAAUACAUGCAAGUCGAGCGAACAGACGAGGAGCUUGCUCCUCUGACGUUAGCGGCGGACGGGUGAGUAACACGUGGAUAACCUACCUAUAAGACUGGGAUAACUUCGGGAAACCGGAGCUAAUACCGGAUAAUAUAUUGAACCGCAUGGUUCAAUAGUGAAAGACGGUUUUGCUGUCACUUAUAGAUGGAUCCGCGCCGCAUUAGCUAGUUGGUAAGGUAACGGCUUACCAAGGCAACGAUGCGUAGCCGACCUGAGAGGGUGAUCGGCCACACUGGAACUGAGACACGGUCCAGACUCCUGCGGGAGGCAGCAGUAAGGAAUCGUCCGCAAUGGGCGAAAGCCUGACGGAGCAACGCCGCGUGAGUGAUGAAGGUCUUCGGAUCGUAAAACUCUGUUAUUAGGGAAGAACAAAUGUGUAAGUAACUAUGCACGUCUUGACGGUACCUAAUCAGAAAGCCACGGCUAACUACGUG